rnacentral:rRNA from 1 species
GUGGGGAAUCUUGCGCAAUGGGCGAAAGCCUGACGCAGCAACGCCGCGUGGAGGAAGAAGGCCUUCGGGUUGUAAACUCCUGUCAGGGGGAAAGAAGGCACCUGGGUUAAUAGCCCAAGGGCUGACGGUACCCCCAGAGGAAGCCACGGCUAACUACGUGCCAGCAGCCGCGGUAAUACGUAGGUGGCGAGCGUUGUCCGGAAUCAUUGGGCGUAAAGCGCGCGUAGGCGGCUUGUCAGGUCUGAUGUGAAACCUCGGGGCUCAACCCCAAGCGUGCAUCGGAAACCGGCUUGCUAGAGUCUGGGAGAGGAGAGUGGAAUUCCUGGUGUAGCGGUGAAAUGCGUAGAUAUCAGGAGGAACACCAGUUGCGAAGGCGGCUCUCUGGAACAGUACUGACGCUGAGGCGCGAAAGCUAGGGGAGCGAACAGGAUUAGAUACCCGAGUAGUCC